ACAUGAGCGUACCAGUUGUACCUA
rnacentral:siRNA from 1 species